rnacentral:misc_RNA from 1 species
GAUUCUUCUGAUUUUCUUGCAUCUUGUUCCUCUUUCUGCACACGUGACAAUAAGGAAUCAAUUUCUGCAAAUACUGAAUCUUUGCCGCGGUUCCCAUCAAUCUUAUUCAUUAUAUCUGAGUACACUGGUAAUAUUGCUUCAGCAUUUUGCUUGUAUAUUUGCAGACGUGAUUUCACCUUUUCCUCUGUGUCAUCAGGACGAGUUAUGAGCCUUGCUUUGAUGUCCUCGGUCUCUGGAGGGAAAUUAGUAACAUGGUAUAUUUUACCAGUGAGAGGAUCUAGCCUUCUACCAACACAUCUGUCAAUAAGAAUCGCAUCAGGAACAUCAAGCACAAUGUAGAUAUCUGGUC